AGAACGAACGCUGGCGGCAUGCCUAAUACAUGCAAGUCGAACGAACACUUCGGUGUUAGUGGCGCACGGGUGCGUAACGCGUGGGAAUCUGCCCUUGGGUUCGGAAUAACAGUUGGAAACGACUGCUAAUACCGGAUGAUAUCGAAAGAUCAAAGAUUUAUCGCCCAGGGAUGAGCCCGCGUAGGAUUAGCUAGUUGGUGAGGUAAAGGCUCACCAAGGCGACGAUCCGUUAGCUGGGUCUGAGAGGAUGAUCAGCCACACGUGGGACUGAGACGACGGCCCAGACCUCCGUACGGGAGCAGCGAGUACGGGAUACGUGGACAAGUGGGCACGAACGCGUCGAAUCCCGAG
rnacentral:rRNA from 1 species